UGCCUAAUACAUGCAAGUCGUACGCACUGGCCCAACUGAUUGAUGGUGCUUGCACCUGAUUGACGAUGGAUCACCAGUGAGUGGCGGACGGGUGAGUAACACGUAGGUAACCUGCCCCGGAGCGGGGGAUAACAUUUGGAAACAGAUGCUAAUACCGCAUAACAACAAAAGCCACAUGGCUUUUGUUUGAAAGAUGGCUUUGGCUAUCACUCUGGGAUGGACCUGCGGUGCAUUAGCUAGUUGGUAAGGUAACGGCUUACCAAGGCGAUGAUGCAUAGCCGAGUUGAGAGACUGAUCGGCCACAAUGGAACUGAGACACGGUCCAUACUCCUACGGGAGGCAGCAGUAGGGAAUCUUCCACAAUGGGCGCAAGCCUGAUGGAGCAACACCGCGUGAGUGAAGAAGGGUUUCGGCUCGUAAAGCUCUGUUGUUGGAGAAGAACGUGCGUGAGAGUAACUGUUCACGCAGUGACGGUAUCCAACCAGAAAGUCACGGCUAACUACGUGCCAGCAGCCGCGGUAAUACGUAGGUGGCAAGCGUUAUCCGGAUUUAUUGGGCGUAAAGCGAGCGCAGGCGGUUGCUUAGGUCUGAUGUGAAAGCCUUCGGCUUAACCGAAGAAGUGCAUCGGAAACCGGGCGACUUGAGUGCAGAAGAGGACAGUGGAACUCCAUGUGUAGCGGUGGAAUGCGUAGAUAUAUGGAAGAACACCAGUGGCGAAGGCGGCUGUCUGGUCUGCAACUGACGCUGAGGCUCGAAAGCAUGGGUAGCGAACAGGAUUAGAUACCCUGGUAGUCCAUGCCGUAAACGAUGAGUGCUAGGUGUUGGAGGGUUUCCGCCCUUCAGUGCCGGAGCUAACGCAUUAAGCACUCCGCCUGGGGAGUACGACCGCAAGGUUGAAACUCAAAGGAAUUGACGGGGGCCCGCACAAGCGGUGGAGCAUGUGGUUUAAUUCGAAGCUACGCGAAGAACCUUACCAGGUCUUGACAUCUUGCGCUAACCUUAGAGAUAAGGCGUUCCCUUCGGGGACGCAAUGACAGGUGGUGCAUGGUCGUCGUCAGCUCGUGUCGUGAGAUGUUGGGUUAAGUCCCGCAACGAGCGCAACCCUUGUUACUAGUUGCCAGCAUUAAGUUGGGCACUCUAGUGAGACUGCCGGUGACAAACCGGAGGAAGGUGGGGACGACGUCAGAUCAUCAUGCCCCUUAUGACCUGGGCUACACACGUGCUACAAUGGACGGUACAACGAGUCGCAAGCUCGCGAGAGUAAGCUAAUCUCUUAAAGCCGUUCUCAGUUCGGACUGUAGGCUGCAACUCGCCUACACGAAGUCGGAAUCGCUAGUAAUCGCGGAUCAGCAUGCCGCGGUGAAUACGUUCCCGGGCCUUGUACACACCGCCCGUCACACCAUGGGAGUUUGUAACGCCCAAAGUCGGUGGCCUAACCUUUAUGGAGGGAGCCGCCUAAGG
rnacentral:rRNA from 2 species